rnacentral:rRNA from 1 species
UACGUAGGAUGCAAGCGUUGUUCGGAUUCAUUGGGCGUAAAGGGUGCGUAGGUGGCGCGGUAAGUCGGGUGUGAAAUCUCGGAGCUUAACUCCGAAAUUGCAUUCGAUACUGCCGUGCUUGAGGACUGGAGAGGAGACUGGAAUUUACGGUGUAGCGGUGAAAUGCGUAGAUAUCGUAAGGAAGACCAGUGGCGAAGGCGGGUCUCUGGACAGUUCCUGACGCUGAGGCACGAAGGCCAGGGGGAGCAAACGGGG